AAGGUCUGGCUGAUGCCGUGCUCGGGCCUGAAGGGACCCGGCGCCCUCAGCUUUUCCCCGGCGACGCCUCGCGCUCUCCUCAGCCCCUUCUCCUCCCCAUCUCGCCCCCCAGUCCGCUGUCCUGUCUCCAACCCGGCUCGGGGAAAACUCCCAGCGCCAAAGACAUCCACAUCAAAAGCUGAGCCGGCCCGACUCUGAUUUGCCGACAUGUCUCAAGCCUCAGCAGCUCAACCCGCGGGCUAGAAACCUCACAUUUCCAAGCUGGGCUCGCAGCUCGCUCGGCUCGGGGCAAGAUCUUCUCCCCCUCCCUCCAGCUGAAACCUCGCAGAAAACUCCCCCUGCGGUCGACUGGAAAAUGAACUCACCCAAAUCUCGGGUCUUGUACUUUUCUCCACCGCCAACAUGUAUACAGUUUUCUGGCACAAACGCCCCGCCACAGGCACAUCACGCGGGAGGUGAAGGCAGGCCCGCGUGUCAAAGCCAAGGGGAUCCAGAGAUAAAAAAAGAAAGUUCAGAAACAACACUGGCUGGCUGGCUGUUUAAAAGAAACAACAUAGCCAAACACACUCCAAAUCAAACAGCCUUGGUGGAUUGUUCAGCAUUUGAAGGCUUGAUCUUUUGUGCCGUCUACUGGACAAUGGAAAAACUACAGUCUCUAUGAUUUAAACUUUUCUCUUGUCCAGUGUUGGGGGUGGGGAGUGGGUAGGAAGGGGGAUGUGACUUGCUACUGGUAAAUAAUAAGAGAGGAAACGAGACCUAAUUUAGACUCAGAGUACAGAUCUUGUGACUUCAAAUCUUCAAAUCCAAGUUUAGGACAUUAUAUUAACUAUAGGCAUGCCUCAACCACUUGAUUAAGGCACAAGGCUAAAACCUACAUUUUACACAACUGUGUGUGUGUGUGUGUGUGUGUGUGUGUGUGUGUGUCUUGGCUUGGAAAGAGAAAGAAAGAUGGUGGGACAAGCUUAGCAUCUCUGAAAAAAAAUAUUGGUGGUUACUUGCCUCUGAGUGAGAAUUGGCUUGACAGCCAAGUUACAUGUAUUUAUUGCCUAGAUAAUCCAGGAUGUACAGGUUAAUUCUUGGAAUUUGGAACAUGAUAUUGUUCAAUAAUCCAGAAGAGUACUUUCAUGAGGGGAGAAAUGAAAUUGGUAAUUAGAACAAUGUUAGUGCAGUUACUUUUUGGCAAUCUUGGAUAAAAACGUGAAACUUCACUGUUUUCACUUGGAGACCACAUGUGGGAAAAAGUGAGGGUGAAAUUCACAGUCAGAUGCUUUUAUGUAGCAGAGGCUGUUUGAUGUUCUCUUAAACAUGUAAAAACAUUGUAUACAUUUUGGUUACGAUUUCAAAAAUAUUUAUAGAGCUCUAGUAUUAUGGAAGCUUCAUACAAAAAAUGCAUGGAGCUAACUUUGACCUCUGACAUUGACAUAGUUUCUGAAUAACCAUAAUUACCAUAUAGACGUGAUUUUGUGUAGGAAAAAUAUAAACAAAGCCCAAUGGCAAUGAAAUACAGAGAAGUCAAGCUGAUUUUGGUGGAAGAGACAGACUUGGGUACAAGGCUCUUAAAACAGUCCAUCUGCUUUUCUGAAGUUAAAACUCCCUAUUGAAUUUUAAUAUAACCUAGUAGUACACGACUAGUUGAUAGGGUGCCUUUCAAUAAUAAUCCAAUAGUGAAAAGGAGUCAGCUUUAGGGCAUUUUCUUGCUGCAUAAAUAUAUUUCAAUGAUCUACUUCAAAUGAUGUGGCAGUGUGUCAGAAUGACGUUAACAUAUUGUAUUAAAUAUAGAUACAGCAGAGAAUUGGGGCUGACGCCGACUCCUUAAAGCAAGGGAGAUUGCUUAUGUUGCAGAGUAAAAAUAAAUAAAUAAAUAAAACAGGAUGCUUUCGGUUGUGCUGCCGUGUGGCGGAGGGGGUGGUGGGAGUGGUGGACCAUGUCUCCUUAACUUUAGCAUAAUCAACUGGACUGUGAAAGGUUAUUUUCUGAGAUGCUGUUUGGAUCCCUUGGUCCAGAAUAAAGCAGCAACAACAGGGCUCUCCUAAGGAUCGCUAGAAAAUGUAGAAAAUUCUUACGGGAACCAAUUACCAGUACUCACACGCCUGAUACAUUCUAAGCGGACAGUGGACGUCCGGAGGGCUGGUGAAGGUUCUCUGGUCACCAAGUGCAAACAUUUAUCUUUGAAGCAAGAGGAUGGGCCAGACUGGUCAUGAUAAACAUUCAUGUUCCACUGGAUAAAGGGACAUAUUUUGUGAAAACCUUCAGGCAAAAAAAAAAAAAUCGUACUGAUUGUUCAAAAAUAAAUAUCUUAACAUUUCAUUGAGCUCUCUAAUGAAUGAGAAGAACAUCCUAGGCCUCCUGCAGCUCAGAAAGCAUCCUGGUAGCCUGAGACCCAGCGAAGGAACAGACCAGGAGCUGAAGGAGCCUGCUGAGUCGCUAUUCACUUGGGGAUAUCUGAAAACAUACUGUUCCAUGCCCUUAUUUAAAAAGGAAAAAUAAAUAUCAUAUUUCCAUGUCUUUUUCAAACAA